rnacentral:tRNA from 1 species
GGUCAGGAUAGCUCAGUGGUAGAGCAGAGG